UGUUUGUGUGUGGAUACAAGGGGAUGUUGGUGAGUAGUGGGACGCUAAUUUUAACUAGGUCGGCAGCCAUUUUCACCUGCUAGCUAACGUUAGUUUGAAAGGUUUUGUUUCCCACUUGGGGCGCUGUUUGUGAGAAGUCCAAGUGAAGCAGUUUGACGUCGAUGGACAUUAACAUUGCCACCCGUUAGCUAACUUAGCUAGCUACUUUUCUCACUGGAGGGGCUUUUUGUGAGUAACAUUAAUGAACAACGUUGUUUUAAUAAGUUCAACGGACAUCACCUGUAGCCACCGGUUUGCUGGCUUAGGUAGCUAAAUUGGCUUUUUCGAUUGACGCGCUGUUUGUGAACUUGGAAAACUGUCGUUUUAACCAGUUCAACGGGAAAUUUUUCUGUAGCGCCUUGGAGGACGCCGCCCCGCUUUAAACCGCCUCUCGGCAGAUUAAGAAGCGCCGUGGUCGAGAGGCCCGCGCAUUCAUGAGGGAGAAAGGGAGCGCAAACACGGUGUAUCGUUACUAACUUAAUUUUCUCACUGGAUGGCUUUUGUGAGCAGUGUAAAACCUUUGUUGUAACCAGUUCAACUGGACAUUUUUCACCUGUAGCGUCUUGGUGACACCGCCCGAUUUGAACCUCCACGCUGAACCCGCUCUUUGGAGAAAAUAAGUUGUUCAGAAACAAGCCUGCCAUCAGCCAGAUGUUACAUCGAUGGCCAGCUCUUUUCACAGAAAGCCAGGUAUGUAUUACUUCUGAGUGUUUAAAUGUUGAAUACAAUUUUCCAUAGAUUCUUGUUUUUAGCUUCUUAUGCAAUACGUUUUGUUUCAGGUUUGUUACGAGCGGUGGGGAAAAGUCUGCAAGAGAAUUUCUUUGAUGAACUUGACCGUUUCUCUCCAAGGCUGAUGGACCUCUUUAGGAAGAAGAAAGGCCUGACCGGCCAGCUUUUACAUCAGACAAAGACCACUUAGCCAACAGACAUCAGGUGCCUAUGUCUUCGGGGACUGCCCGUCGUCUUGCCAGAUGAUUCUUCUGCCUUCUUCAAGACAUGCUCUGUAAGUUAAUUAUUUUUUGUAAAUGUUGCAGGUGCAUGCUCCUUUGUCUCAUUUUUAGCUGUUAAUGAACACUGCCAUUCAUUUUCAGAAUUAUUUGAUCAGAAUCAGUGUCUCCAUUAAGUCUCUAUUUUAUGGCCGAACAAAGAUAGUUUACCCACUUUCAGUUCCAGUCCUAUUGAAAAGUAGAAAAUUGCUCCCAAUAACUAAGGUUGUAUGAAUCCUUUUACAUUAGCUCAAUUCGUUUUUUGACUUAACUGUCACCAUUUGGAACUUGUGAAAAUGUUUUUGGGUCUUUAACUCAAAUGGGGAUAUCUGAUUGCACUUGUUAAAUUCUGGUUGCUCCAGUCAUCAACUAACUUAUUGUAUAUGUUACUUUCAACUGGUAACGUAAAAAAAUUUAAAAAGCAAUUAAGGUGAAGGGUACUGAGAGUCAUGAAAAAUUUACUUUCUGCACGACUGAAAGUGGGUGAACUCCAUAUUUGGGGCGAAGUGUUGCAACGUGUACAGAUCCGAAUAUGGCAUUUGAUAAAAAUUCAAGACUGGUAUUCC
ensembl:lncRNA